CACGUAGGGCGCAAGCGUUGUCCGGAAUUAUUGGGCGUAAAGAGCUCGUAGGCGGUCUGUUGCGUCUGCUGUGAAAACCCGGGGCUUAACCCCUGGCUUGCAGUGGAUACGGACAGACUAGAGGUAGGUAGGGGAGAAUGGAAUUCCCGGUGUAGCGGUGAAAUGCGCAGAUAUCGGGAGGAACACCGGUGGCGAAAGCGGCUCACUGGAUCUUAUCUGACGCUGAGGCACGAAAGCCAGGGUAGCAAACGGG
rnacentral:rRNA from 1 species